GUCUAUGGCCAUGCCACCCUGAACACGCCUAAUCCCGUUUGGUCUCAGAAGCUAAGUAAGGUCGGGCCUUGUUAGUACUUGGAUGGAAGACCACCUGGGAAUCCCAGGUACUGUAGGCU
rnacentral:rRNA from 1 species